GUGCUGGCGACUGGGUUCGGAGCGCUCAGAUCGAAGGUGGCCGAGCACUGGUAUGAGGUCUACAAGAUGGACAAGCAGGGGGCCAACCUCUGCUUCAUCUACUGGUGGAGGACAAGGUCCAUGACAUCUCGCUGAACCACUACACCUGGCUUGCUCGCCGGCACAUGCGUGCGUGCUUCGAUGCGCGGCGCUUCGUCGAGCUGGCCGGACCACGGCAAUCCCCGGAGCUGGAGCGGGAGGAGGCAAUGAGAUGCUGCUGGUGCUGCGGUUGUGUCCUCGGAGGCAGCAGCUGCCCCUCGCCGACCUCACCAACCUUCGGCGUCCGCCAUGAGCUCCGCGCAUGACCCCUUCUACAUCGUCCGGGAGGAGAUCCAGGGCUUGGUUUUAGCGAUCAGCCGUAGCUCUUUCAUCAAAGGUGCAUGGUGUAACCGAGGACAAGCACUUCAUGUCCGACCAAGGUGCAUGGUGCUUGCAAUUGACGAACAUGGGGUUUAUGAAAUUUGAAGUUCAAAGCUGGAUAGCCCUACUCAGCAAAGAGUCGUCUCUUUUGUUUGACUGUAAUAGACUGUAAAUAUUGUUAUAUUGUAAUAGUAGGCAUAUUUGGGUUGUAAUAGACUAUGUACAUAUUGUAGUAGACUUAGUUAGUGUUAUUUGAUGAACUACAUUUGUACUGUUUCGUUUGAAAUAUUGAUUAUGUAU